UACAGAGGGUGCAAGCGUUAAUCGGAAUUACUGGGCGUAAAGCGCGCGUAGGCGGCUGCCUAAGUCGGGUGUGAAAGCCCCCGGCUCAACUGGGGAGGGUCAUUCGAUACUGUUCGACUCGAAGGCAGGAGAGGGAAGUGGAAUUCCCGGUGUAGUGGUGAAAUGCGUAGAUAUCGGGAGGAACACCAGUGGCGAAGGCGACUUCCUGGCCUGUUCUUGACGCUGAGGCGCGAAAGCUAGGGGAGCAAACGGG
rnacentral:rRNA from 1 species